UUAAGCGACUAAGCGUACACGGUGGAUGCCCUGGCAGUCAGAGGCGAUGAAGGACGUGCUAAUCUGCGAUAAGCGUCGGUGAGGUGAUAUGAACCGUUAUAACCGGCGAUUUCCGAAUGGGGAAACCCAGUGUGAUUCGUCACACUAUCAUUAACUGAAUCCAUAGGUUAAUGAGGCGAACCGGGGGAACUGAAACAUCUAAGUACCCCGAGGAAAAGAAAUCAACCGAGAUUCCCCCAGUAGCGGCGAGCGAACGGGGAGGAGCCCAGAGCCUGAAUCAGUGUGUGUGUUAGUGGAAGCGUCUGGAAAGGCGCGCGAUACAGGGUGACAGCCCCGUACACAAAAAUGCACAUGCUGUGAGCUCGAUGAGUAGGGCGGGACACGUGGUAUCCUGUCUGAAUAUGGGGGGACCAUCCUCCAAGGCUAAAUACUCCUGACUGACCGAUAGUGAACCAGUACCGUGAGGGAAAGGCGAAAAGAACCCCGGCGAGGGGAGUGAAAAAGAACCUGAAACCGUGUACGUACAAGCAGUGGGAGCCUCUUUUAUGGGGUGACUGCGUACCUUUUGUAUAAUGGGUCAGCGACUUAUAUUCUGUAGCAAGGUUAACCGAAUAGGGGAGCCGAAGGGAAACCGAGUCUUAACUGGGCGUUAAGUUGCAGGGUAUAGACCCGAAACCCGGUGAUCUAGCCAUGGGCAGGUUGAAGGUUGGGUAACACUAACUGGAGGACCGAACCGACUAAUGUUGAAAAAUUAGCGGAUGACUUGUGGCUGGGGGUGAAAGGCCAAUCAAACCGGGAGAUAGCUGGUUCUCCCCGAAAGCUAUUUAGGUAGCGCCUCGUGAAUUCAUCUCCGGGGGUAGAGCACUGUUUCGGCAAGGGGGUCAUCCCGACUUACCAACCCGAUGCAAACUGCGAAUACCGGAGAAUGUUAUCACGGGAGACACACGGCGGGUGCUAACGUCCGUCGUGAAGAGGGAAACAACCCAGACCGCCAGCUAAGGUCCCAAAGUCAUGGUUAAGUGGGAAACGAUGUGGGAAGGCCCAGACAGCCAGGAUGUUGGCUUAGAAGCAGCCAUCAUUUAAAGAAAGCGUAAUAGCUCACUGGUCGAGUCGGCCUGCGCGGAAGAUGUAACGGGGCUAAACCAUGCACCGAAGCUGCGGCAGCGACACUAUGUGUUGUUGGGUAGGGGAGCGUUCUGUAAGCCUGUGAAGGUGUACUGUGAGGUAUGCUGGAGGUAUCAGAAGUGCGAAUGCUGACAUAAGUAACGAUAAAGCGGGUGAAAAGCCCGCUCGCCGGAAGACCAAGGGUUCCUGUCCAACGUUAAUCGGGGCAGGGUGAGUCGACCCCUAAGGCGAGGCCGAAAGGCGUAGUCGAUGGGAAACAGGUUAAUAUUCCUGUACUUGGUGUUACUGCGAAGGGGGGACGGAGAAGGCUAUGUUGGCCGGGCGACGGUUGUCCCGGUUUAAGCGUGUAGGCUGGUUUUCCAGGCAAAUCCGGAAAAUCAAGGCUGAGGCGUGAUGACGAGGCACUACGGUGCUGAAGCAACAAAUGCCCUGCUUCCAGGAAAAGCCUCUAAGCAUCAGGUAACAUCAAAUCGUACCCCAAACCGACACAGGUGGUCAGGUAGAGAAUACCAAGGCGCUUGAGAGAACUCGGGUGAAGGAACUAGGCAAAAUGGUGCCGUAACUUCGGGAGAAGGCACGCUGAUAUGUAGGUGAAGCGACUUGCUCGUGGAGCUGAAAUCAGUCGAAGAUACCAGCUGGCUGCAACUGUUUAUUAAAAACACAGCACUGUGCAAACACGAAAGUGGACGUAUACGGUGUGACGCCUGCCCGGUGCCGGAAGGUUAAUUGAUGGGGUUAGCGGUAACGCGAAGCUCUUGAUCGAAGCCCCGGUAAACGGCGGCCGUAACUAUAACGGUCCUAAGGUAGCGAAAUUCCUUGUCGGGUAAGUUCCGACCUGCACGAAUGGCGUAAUGAUGGCCAGGCUGUCUCCACCCGAGACUCAGUGAAAUUGAACUCGCUGUGAAGAUGCAGUGUACCCGCGGCAAGACGGAAAGACCCCGUGAACCUUUACUAUAGCUUGACACUGAACAUUGAGCCUUGAUGUGUAGGAUAGGUGGGAGGCUUUGAAGUGUGGACGCCAGUCUGCAUGGAGCCGGCCUUGAAAUACCACCCUUUAAUGUUUGAUGUUCUAACGUUGGCCCCUGAUCGGGGUUGCGGACAGUGUCUGGUGGGUAGUUUGACUGGGGCGGUCUCCUCCUAAAGAGUAACGGAGGAGCACGAAGGUUGGCUAAUCCUGGUCGGACAUCAGGAGGUUAGUGCAAUGGCAUAAGCCAGCUUGACUGCGAGCGUGACGGCGCGAGCAGGUGCGAAAGCAGGUCAUAGUGAUCCGGUGGUUCUGAAUGGAAGGGCCAUCGCUCAACGGAUAAAAGGUACUCCGGGGAUAACAGGCUGAUACCGCCCAAGAGUUCAUAUCGACGGCGGUGUUUGGCACCUCGAUGUCGGCUCAUCACAUCCUGGGGCUGAAGUAGGUCCCAAGGGUAUGGCUGUUCGCCAUUUAAAGUGGUACGCGAGCUGGGUUUAGAACGUCGUGAGACAGUUCGGUCCCUAUCUGCCGUGGGCGCUGGAGAACUGAGGGGGGCUGCUCCUAGUACGAGAGGACCGGAGUGGACGCAUCACUGGUGUUCGGGUUGUCAUGCCAAUGGCACUGCCCGGUAGCUAAAUGCGGAAGAGAUAAGUGCUGAAAGCAUCUAAGCACGAAACUUGCCCCGAGAUGAGUUCUCCCUGAGACUUAGAGUCUCCUGAAGGAACGUUGAAGACGACGACGUUGAUAGGCCGGGUGUGUAAGCGCAGCGAUGCGUUGAGCUAACCGGUACUAAUGAACCGUGAGGCUUAACCUU
rnacentral:rRNA from 1 species